UUUAUCAUUUUUUCUUUUAGGAUGAAUUCCUCCAUCAUGUUGUUGUCUAUGUCUCUGCCUUCUUAAAUGUUUUAGAAAAUCCUGUUAUCUUUUCUGCUUCUAGGGUAGUAUCUUUAUUGAGAAGUGUUCACAUACUGUCCAGGGCCUGACACUUCAUGAAGCAUUUGUUUUAUGUUCCGUGGCACUGUGCUGUCGUGUUUUGGCUGCUCUGUCCCUCAGGAGAGUCCUCUGCAGAUUUUCUCCUUGCCUCCAGUGGGGAGUGUUGGACCUUGUCCCCAGUGUCCCCUCACUGUGUCUUUCGCACAGUAAUAUGUGGCCGUGUCCUCGGUCUUGAGGUUGUUCAUCUGCAGAGACACCGUGUUCUUGGCGUUGUCUCUGGAGAUGGUGAAUCGGCCCUUCACGGAGUCUGCGUAGUAUGUGCUACCUCCAUCAUCACUAAUGGAUGCGACCCACUGCAGCCCCUUCCCUGGAGCCUGGCGGAUCCAGCCCAUG